rnacentral:lncRNA from 1 species
UAAGCACUCCACAGUCACUGUACGGUACUGUCAUCUCAUGGUUGAGAAUUUCCCGAGGGAAGGGGGAGUGCUCUUCUACAAUUCUGUUCAAAUCCUAUCUGUGAAUCCUACACAAUCUCUGCCCUGUCUGCUUUCAAUAGAGCGUAUACAUGCAGCUCAGGCAGGCGCUGGAAUGAACCUUGGCUACUCGUAGCAGCGCAAUUCACAGCAUUAACAGUAUGACGUCAUUUUCAACCAAGACUAAACUGCUACCUCAUUGCAGUCCUUCAUGCCAUGGAAGCAAUUAGGUCAGUUAGAAUUCAAGGGCCCCGUGAGAGGAAGCCAAAUAGCUGCCUCAUCUCCUGUGGCCAAGAAAAUCCGCCGCUACUGUAGAGCAUCUUUUCACCUCUGGAGUCCCAGACACAGAGCCGAUGCAGUCUUCUACCAAGUCUUCUACUAGGGAGAUGGCCUCGAAGAUUGCAGGACUGCUCUACUCAUGGAUCGCCUCAAAAUGGUGAUGCCAGACGUAGCAGGAAUCCAAAGAGUGGCGCAUAUAUGGGUGCUGGCAGCAGGAUGUCAAAGGUGUAGCUUAUUGCCCUGUGGAGGCGCCUGUACAAAGGCACAAAAUUGACCUCAGAUGUCGUAUUUAUAAGCAACAAGUUUAAGGCAACCCCGGAAAUGAAAGACAAUAUACUACUAGCGUGCAUGGGCAGUCUAAAGAAAUUGUGGUGUGCAUCCCGCAAUGGCAUUUACAGUCCAUGGUGAGAGUGUAUGAAGAUGAACUGCAAAUUGAGGAGCUGAGUGGAUGCACCUCCUCUUCUGGGUCCGCUUCUUAAGUUCUUCUUUCAAGUGGUGAUACAAUGCGCAG